UGUCCCUCCGGGCAAAUUCCCUCGCUAGACCGCAACAGCUGCAAGGGGGCAGGGCUCGCCGGGAGCCAGGAGUCUGCCUACCAACAAGGCCACAGGCUGCAGGCUCCCCAGCGACCAAAUGCUCGGGUUCCUGAUCUCAGCAAAACGCAGAUGAUCACGCCUAAAGCUCGCAAGGGCGGCCGGUAUCCCCACGGGGGCCCGGGAGGAAGCCGGAAGACGAGUUCGGAUUAGGCCGCUCAAGCACAUCACACCGCUCCCCGCUCCCCGUGACCAGUGGAGUCCGUGUGCAGAGCGUGCAGUCGGGAUGGCCCACGAGCCACAGAAAACAACUUACACGGAGACCUGCCCACUCAGCAGCCCACAGCCGGCGCCGCGCGAGGAGCCACAGGCUGGCGGGGCG